rnacentral:rRNA from 1 species
GUAAUAGCUCACUGGUCGAGUCGGCCUGCGCGGAAGAUGUAACGGGGCUAAACCAUGCACCGAAGCUGCGGCAGCGACGCUUAUGCGUUGUUGGGUAGGGGAGCGUUCUGUAAGCCGUCGAAGGUGUGCUGUGAGGCAUGCUGGAGGUAUCAGAAGUGCGAAUGCUGACAUAAGUAACGAUAAAGCGGGUGAAAAGCCCGCUCGCCGGAAGACCAAGGGUUCCUGUUCAACGUUAAUCGGAGCAGGGUGAGUCGACCCCUAAGGCGAGGCCGAAAGGCGUAGUCGAUGGGAAACAGGUUAAUAUUCCUGUACUCGGUGUUACUGCGAAGGGGGGACGGAGAAGGCUAUAUCAGCCGGGCGACGGUUGUCCCGGUUUAAGCGUGUAGGCGGAGUGUCCAGGUAAAUCCGGACGCUUGUUAACGCUGAGGCGUGACGACGAGGCACUACGGUGCUGAAGUGAUAAAUGCCCAGCUUCCAGGAAAAGCCUCUAAGCAUCAGGUAACACAGAAUCGUACCCCAAACCGACACAGGUGGUCAGGUAGAGAAUACCAAGGCGCUUGAGAGAACUCGGGUGAAGGAACUAGGCAAAAUGGUGCCGUAACUUCGGGAGAAGGCACGCUGGCGCGUAGGUGGAGGGACUUGCUCCCCGAGCCGAAGCCAGUCGAAGAUACCAGCUGGCUGCAACUGUUUAUUAAAAACACAGCACUGUGCAAACACGAAAGUGGACGUAUACGGUGUGACGCCUGCCCGGUGCCGGAAGGUUAAUUGAUGGGGUUAUCCGCAAGGAGAAGCUCUUGAUCGAAGCCCCGGUAAACGGCGGCCGUAACUAUAACGGUCCUAAGGUAGCGAAAUUCCUUGUCGGGUAAGUUCCGACCUGCACGAAUGGCGUAAUGAUGGCCAGGCUGUCUCCACCCGAGACUCAGUGAAAUUGAACUCGCUGUGAAGAUGCAGUGUACCCGCGGCAAGACGGAAAGACCCCGUGAACCUUUACUACAGCUUGACACUGAACAUUGAGCCUUGAUGUGUAGGAUAGGUGGGAGGCUUUGAAGCGCGGACGCCAGUCUGCGUGGAGCCAACCUUGAAAUACCACCCUUUAAUGUUUGAUGUUCUAACGUAGGCCCGUGAUCCGGGCUGCGGACAGUGUCUGGUGGGUAGUUUGACUGGGGCGGUCUCCUCCUAAAGAGUAACGGAGGAGCACGAAGGUCAGCUAAUCACGGUCGGACAUCGUGAGGUUAGUGCAAUGGCAUAAGCUGGCUUGACUGCGAGAGUGACGGCUCGAGCAGGUGCGAAAGCAGGUCAUAGUGAUCCGGUGGUUCUGAAUGGAAGGGCCAUCGCUCAACGGAUAAAAGGUACUCCGGGGAUAACAGGCUGAUACCGCCCAAGAGUUCAUAUCGACGGCGGUGUUUGGCACCUCGAUGUCGGCUCAUCACAUCCUGGGGCUGAAGUAGGUCCCAAGGGUACGGCUGUUCGCCGUUUAAAGUGGUACGCGAGCUGGGUUUAGAACGUCGUGAGACAGUUCGGUCCCUAUCUGCCGUGGGCGCUGGAGAAUUGAGGGGGGUUGCUCCUAGUACGAGAGGACCGGAGUGAACGCACCACUGGUGUUCGGGUUGUCAUGCCAAUGGCAUUGCCCGGUAGCUAAGUGCGGAAAAGAUAAGUGCUGAAAGCAUCUAAGCACGAAACUUGCCCCGAGAUGAGUUCUCCCUGACUCCUUGAGAGUCCUGAAGGGACGUUGAAGACUACGACGUUGAUAGGCCGGGUGUGUAAGCGCAGCGAUGCGUUGAGCUAACCGGUACUAAUGACCCGUGAGGCUUAACCUUACAACGCCAGAGGCGUUU